UACGUAGGGCGCGAGCGUUGUCCGGAAUUAUUGGGCGUAAAGAGCUCGUAGGCGGCUUGUCGCGUCGGUUGUGAAAGCCCGGGGCUUAACCCCGGGUCUGCAGUCGAUACGGGCAGGCUAGAGUUCGGUAGGGGAGAUCGGAAUUCCUGGUGUAGCGGUGAAAUGCGCAGAUAUCAGGAGGAACACCGGUGGCGAAGGCGGAUCUCUGGGCCUUACCUGACGCUCAGGCACGAAAGCUAGGGGAGCGAACAGG
rnacentral:rRNA from 1 species